rnacentral:rRNA from 1 species
UACAGAGGUCUCAAGCGUUGUUCGGAUUUACUGGGCGUAAAGGGCGCGUAGGCGGCAAUUCAAGUCAUCUGUGAAAUCUCUGGGCUUAACCCAGAACGGCCAGGUGAUACUGCUUUGCUAGAGUGCGGAAGGGGCAAUCGGAAUUCUUGGUGUAGCGGUGAAAUGCGUAGAUAUCAAGAGGAACACCUGAGGUGAAGACGGGUUGCUGGGCCGACACUGACGCUGACAGCGCGAAAGCCAGGGGAGCAAACGGG